AGAGAGAUUAAGAUAGGGCAGAUUUUAGCUAUUUUGAAGCCACUAAAUCACUAUUUAUGCUUCCAGAGGAUUAAAAAAAUUGGGGUGGGGAGAGAUCUUCAUAUAUUGUUAAAGUUUUAAGUUGCAAGAAUGUUUACCCCUGAUUGUUUCAAAACACAUCUCUAAUAACAUAUACCCCAACAUAACUUCCACAUCCUUCUGUCUUCCAACUUAUGUUUACUAAUCACUUAUGAGCUAUUUCUGCAUCAAAGAAAUAUUCAUUGUAGCAAAACAGAUUACUUGGCUGAUAAGCCAGUACCAAUGUUGAGACUCUGUUUUGUUGUUACUGCUGCUUGUUUUUUUAGGAGCUCAUAUAUUGGGUCUAUGCUUCUAUUUCAUUUUUUGCCCCAUUGAAGCAUAGAGGAAAUUUAAUCUGUGUUCUCAAAUCUGCUUUGGUCCUGAAUCCUGGACAAUUUCUUUAUUUUUAGGGGUGUACGCAAGGGGCUGAUUAGGUAACAAGUCACAUCUUCUUUUUAAAAGCCAUGUAAACAUGUUUAGAAGAGGGAAAGGGAUGGGGAAUGAUGGUCAUCUUGAUCAAGAGUGAUGUUUCCUUCUUGGAAAGCAUCAAAUUACACAGAGACCUCGAACUUUGUAUGGUUCAGCCUACAGCUUAAAAUGAAAUACAGAUCUGCAUCAAUGAAGACUUUUCUUUUUUAAGUCCUCCCUCCCUGCCUUGGUUUGUUUGUUUGUUUUGAUAAAGCAUCUCUGUUGUCCAUAUGACCCUUUAGGAAAAAAAAGAGAUGCUGUUCAUUUUAGUAAGUAUUUAUUUGGGCUAGAAUGUGGUGGGGUAAUGGCUCCAAACUAAUAUAUUGGUAACUUCUGUAGAAAUGGACCGUCUUUACUGAGAAUUCUAUUGUUGACAUAAAAUAAGGCAACAGGUCUUUCAUCUAUGAGAAGCUCACAAUUUUAGGCUUCUUGCCCUCACCUUUUCAAAAUGGCUUAUGUUUUCAGGCUACACAGAAUUGUUUUAUGUGGUAAAAUCCAUAGUGGACUUAAUAAAAGGAGUAUUUUGAAAAAAAUAAGGAAAUAUGGGGUUUUUUUUUGGUUCUGAGACUUUAGGAAUUUCAUACAAGAGACUAAGGUGGGAUUUAUUUUUCUUUAUAAAAUGAUAUUUUGCAUGCAUUUCUUCCUCAUUCCUUCCACUAACCUCCCCACUGGCAAUAUUUCUCAUCAGGGAGUUAACCUGCAGGCUGGCGAUUAGGUGGAAUUCAGGAGGUGUGGAGCCUGGCUCUCGAGGGAACAGGGCCCAGGCUGAAUGUGUGAGUGAUGCCCAUUCUAAAGGCGCUGCCACUGCUCUGCCCUCCCAUGGCUGCUGUGCAGCAGUGCCAGCCCAGAGUUGCUCUGUACCCCAGUUUCUGUGAGUAGCUGGUUGUCUGCAUUCUCAUGUGAAGUCUUCUGAGUUUUUAAUGUUGGCAACCAAAUCAGAUUUAAAAAACAAAACAAAACUGGACGUUCCCAUGGCGUCAUGGGUUGAGGAUCUCGCAUUGCUGCACCUAUGGCACAGGUUACAACUCUAGAGGGGGUUGAAUCCAGCCCAGGAACUUCUACAGGCCACAGGUGUGGCCAAAAAAACAAAAAACAAAAAACCCUCGAAAAACAAACACGAAUACACACUGUGAAGACCUAAUAAAUUGCUUCUGUAGCCAGAUUUAGUCUGGAGGGUGCAAGUUUUCAACCUAGAUUAUGAAAAUUUAUUCAUUUCAAGGAGCACAAAAUCUUGUAUUCCUUUCUGGAAAAUGAUCGAGUAAAUAAUGUACCAGUUAUAAAUGUCCAACUGUGAGAAAGGGCAGUGGCUUGCCCAGGACAUCAUCUUAGCAGAAUUGCCUUCUCUCCAUCCCCAUGCCAUCCCACCUAAAAUCAUUUAACAGCCAUGGGUAAUCUCAGCAGUGCUCUCAACAGUUCAUUUUCAUUAACUGGCACUUACUACUGAAUUUGCAGACAAAUAUCAAAGAAUAGCAGAAAUGUCAGUUUCUUGACUGUGAGUGUCAUUUAUUAAAACUUAGUUCUCUGUAAUACAAACUACCCCAGAGUAGGCCUUGUUUUUAUAGGUUUUGCCAGAAUCAGUCAUGCUAUUAGUAAAAGAUGGCCUUUGUUGUUUAAAAAUGCCGUGGAAAUUAUUAACUCCAAGAGCCUCAGACGGAGCUCUGGCAGCAGGCCAGAAUGCCUGACUCUUUAUGUUGAGGCCAUUGGAGCAGCAAUCUAAUUUUUUGAUUAAGCAAAAUCAUUACAAAUAGUAUUCAGAUAGGCUGUAAAAUGAGAAAUGCUCUUCUCUGAAACUUGCCCUAUUUAGGAUUGGAAAGUUGACGGGAUUAUCGCCAAGGGGUGGAAUUUUUCAGCUUCAAAUCAGAUUCUAAUCUGCCCCCAAAUGGUAAUUGACCCCAAAAUCAUCAUUAUGAGAAGGCUGGUUGGGCCUUUGGAAUUAGUCACCAUUGUCAGGCAAGAAGGUGAUUCCAUUUCAGAGUAAAUAAAGGUCUGGUAGAUCCUUUCCUACCCCUGGGUCGGGGCCAUGUUUUACAAACUCCUUGUUUUCUUUGCUGAGGAAAUGGAACACCCAUCAGAGCAACUCUUUUCCAGCAUGUAAAUUUGGCACCUCAACAGGGUAACAUUAGAAGCUCUGAAUCAACACUGAGGGGGAAAGUGAAACCAACUAACAGUCAAUCAGGGAACAGAGAUAAGCCCUUCCUUGUCAGGUGGCACUGAUAAAAAGUUCACCUGCAUUUAGUUUGGUGCCUGUGAAGAAGGGCCCUUUGUGGUUGCUUUUUUGAAGACUAUAGUUUUUCUCUGUUUCAGACACUUGACAAAUAAAAUUUAAUUUAUUUACUUCUAAUUGACACCUAAGGAUGCCCUUUAAUCUCUUCCAUUAGCUUCUUUAAAAGGCAGUUUAGCAUCAUAUGAAAAAAGCACCAGAAUAAGAUUAUCUGGGAUUAUUUACCUACCCCUCCACCUACCUACCUUGUGACCUUAGCAAGUAAUGCCCUCUCAGGCAAAUGGGGGCAAUGACCUCUUGGGCUUGUGGGGAGAUAUGAAAUGAUGCAAAAAUAUUUAGCACAAAUUACUUUGGCAAAGUGCUUACUAAGUACUUGUUUCUAUUAGGAGUAUGAUUAUUAAGAUAGAGGAGCAGGAAGGUACCACCAAACAGUCCUGAUCAAUCCUGGGGUUCAGCUUAGAACAGAGAGCCAAGUGAGCUGAGAGGGAGAAAGAUCAAAGAGGCUGGAUUUAAAAGCUUAACUAGACCUCUAUCUCAAACAC
rnacentral:lncRNA from 1 species